AGCUUUAUAGUCAAUAAUGAUAUUGGACUGCAAUUCUAAAGGAGUAAUAAUUUACUAAAGCUU
rnacentral:tRNA from 1 species